AUGUUAAAGCAUACAAAAGCCUCAUAUUGUUUAUCUCACGCAAAAAUCAGUAAGCACAACGAUAAUCAUGGGCUAACAUUUCACUUUACUACAAACCACAAACAAAGUUUAGUUCACAGUAAAGAUUGUUAUCAAAAUCACAAGACCAGCCCAGUUACAGCAAGUCAGAAUUACAGGUUCAAGGCCUAA